rnacentral:tRNA from 1 species
GUCAGGGUGGCCGAGUGGUCUAAGGCGCCAGACUCAAGGACAAUCUCCUUCCUGGUCAAAGGGUCUUCUGGUCUCCAAAUGGAGGCGUGGGUUCAAAUCCCACUCCUGACA